UACAGAGGUCCCAAGCGUUGUUCGGAUUCACUGGGCGUAAAGGGUGCGUAAGCGGUCGGGUAAGUCUGACGUGAAAUCUUCAAGCUCAACUUGGAAACUGCGUCGGAUACUAUUCGGCUAGAGGAAUGGAGGGGAGACUGGAAUACUUGGUGUAGCAGUGAAAUGCGUAGAUAUCAAGUGGAACACCAGUGGCGAAGGCGAGUCUCUGGACAUUUCCUGACGCUGAGGCACGAAAGCCAGGGGAGCAAACGGG
rnacentral:rRNA from 1 species